GCCUGUAAUCCCAGCUACUAGGGAGGCUGAAACUGGCAGACCUCUUAAGCUUAGGGGCUCUAAGCUGAAUGGCUUUUACUGAUUGAGUGUCCACACUAAUUUUAGCAUCAUUAUGGAAAUUUCCCAGGAGUAGGGCCCAUCAGAUUACCUAAAGAAGAGCUAGAUCAGGUAAGAAAUGGAGCAAGUCAAAGCUCUGGUGCUGACCAGUCAUGGGAUUUGGCUCAUAAGCAGACUUUACAUCCCAGUGUGGCAUAGAUAGAGGGAUCCAGA
rnacentral:sRNA from 1 species